rnacentral:tRNA from 1 species
UAUCAAAUCCGGGUGUCGCCU